rnacentral:rRNA from 1 species
CAAUAGCGUAUAUUAAAGUUGUUGCGGUUAAAAAGCUCGUAGUUGGAUUUCUGCCGAGGACGACCGGUCCGCCCUCUGGGUGAGUAUCUGGCUCGGCCUGGGCAUCUUCUUGGAGAACGUAGCUGCACUUGACUGUGUGGUGCGGUAUCCAGGACUUUUACUUUGAGGAAAUUAGAGUGUUUCAAGCAGGCUUACGCCUUGAAUACAUUAGCAUGGAAUAAUAAGAUAGGACCUCGGUUCUAUUUUGUUGGUUUCUAGAGCUGAGGUAAUGAUUAAUAGGGAUAGUUGGGGGCAUUCGUAUUUAACUGUCAGAGGUGAAAUUCUUGGAUUUGUUAAAGACGGGCUACUGCGAAAGCAUUUGCCAAGGAUGUUUUCAUUGA